UACGGGGGGGGCAAGCGUUGUUCGGAAUUACUGGGCGUAAAGGGCUCGUAGGCGGCCAACUAAGUCAGACGUGAAAUCCCCGGGCUCAACCUGGGAACUGCGUUGGAAACUACGAGGCUGGAGUACGGCAGAGGGGGGUGGAAUUCCACGUGUAGCAGUGAAAUGCGUAGAUAUCUGGAGGAAUACCGGUGGCGAAGGCGGCAUCCUGGACCGGCAUUGACGCUGAGGAGCGAAAGCCAGGGGAGCAAACGGG
rnacentral:rRNA from 1 species